rnacentral:lncRNA from 1 species
UUUGGUACCUCAUUUAAGUCCUCCAUUGUAGGAUUGGACCCGAGAAAACGAGGUGUUUAGCAGUCUUCAGAGUUAGAGUUGGUCCAGAGCUAGUUAGCCCAGAGUUAGCCAAGCAGAGGCUACAGGUGAGUGGAACUACACUCUAUAAUUUUAAAUUCAGAAAUGACAUACUUCUAGCAUGUUCCAUGCAUCAUAAAAUGCCAUGUUUUAUAUUAGGUUGUAUUGCAUUCGUUUUCACGAAUUUGAUGCAUUGCAUAAGAUGAUAUUUGUAUGGAUGACUGUUGGAUGAUCCUUAGCCCUUGAUAGAGCACAGAGUACAGAUACAGAGUUAUGGCAUGAGGUAGCCAUACCAGGUCGCUCCUGGAUAGGCCAGGUCGCUCCUGGUACUAUGAGUUAGACAGACAGUCUGUCAGAUCAGAGAUCAGAGUAGUCCAGGUGAGGCCUAAUCGCCCCUGGCACAGUUGGACAUACUAUUAUGUAUGUAGAGGGCUAUGGUGACAAGUUCAUCCUUGAGGUGAUAUGUUUGUGAUGUGAUACAUUUCAUGAAAGCAUGUAAUUAAUGAACUGUUUACUGUUACUUCUCACUGGGCUGUAGUAGCUCAUCCCACUCCCUUAACCCCAGUUUUGCAGGUUCUGAGAUAGCUAUGGGAAGUCAAAGUCAGCAAGAGUACAGAGAACAGUGAUGCAUGAAUGUAUGGUUGUAAUAGCAUAG